UACGUAGGGGGCAAGCGUUGUCCGGAUUUACUGGGCGUAAAGCGCGCGUAGGUGGAACGUUAAGUCCGGUCUGAAAGCCCCCGGCUCAACCGGGGAGGGUGGCUGGAAACUGGCGUUCUUGAGGGCGAGAGAGGAGGGUGGAAUUCCUGGUGUAGCGGUGAAAUGCGUAGAGAUCGGGAGGAACCUCGAAAGCGAAGGCAGCCGGCUAGACGAUGAUUGACGCUGAGGGACGAUAGCGUGGGUAGCAAACAGG
rnacentral:rRNA from 1 species